UAGAAUAAUGUAGGUAAGGGAAGUCGGCAAAACGGAUCCGUAACUUCGGAACAAGGAUUGGCUCUAAGGGCUGGGCCGAUCGGGCUGAGGUUUCAAGCGUGCAGUGUAUGCUUGGCUUAGUUGUGUUGAGGACUUGUUCACUUGCCACCGGUUGUUCGGCUGGUCGAGUGUAUUCGAGUCUGAAGCAGAGCUGGCCGACAGACCGGCACGUGCAGAACCUGAGCUGCGCGGCUGUCCGUUUUCGUGUACAGACCGUUUCGGUCGGCAUUCAACAGCCAACUUAGAACUGGCACGGACACAAGGAAUCUGACUGUAUAAUUAAAACAAAGCAUUGCGAUGGCCGAUGAUCGGUGAUGACGCAAUGUGAUUUCUGCCCAGUGCUCUGAAUGUCAAAGUGAAGAAAUUCAAUCAAGCGCGGGUAAACGGCGGGAGUAACUAUGACUCUCUUAACUCCUGACUAACCUGAUUUCGUCCGUGCGGCGGCGUUUUCUUUUCGCUCUCCGCUCGUCGAAAUUUGCUGUAGUUGAUUCGCUUUUCUUUGCGUUUUCUUCUACUUUCGCAGUUUUUUCUGCAUUGCCACGAUGUCAAACCGCCUUGCCAAUACUGCUGCGGCUGGUGGGGUUCCAGAGAAAACCUCGGGAACUUUAGACAUUCCUGGCCAACCCUCUUCAUCCGGUGAAAAGCGUGCGAUCUCUUACCCUGGUCCAUUCGGUUGCAAUUCGUGUUCGUUUACGAGUACGACUUGGCUCUCAUUGGAAUUGCAUUUUAAAAGCGUCCAUAAUAUUCGUGACUUCGUCUUCCUCUGCUCUAAAUGUAAAAAAAGCUGGCCAUCGAUCAACUCCGUAGCUAGCCAUUACCCUCGGUGCAAAGGUAGCGUCAAGGCUGCAGUUGUUCCUACAUCUUUGGCGAAUACGUGCACCACGUGCGGCUCAAGCUUCGGUACUUUCAGUGGUCUUCAACUCCAUCGGAAAAGAGCACAUCCGGACGUUUUUGCUGCUUCUUGUAGCAAAAAAACGAAGGCGCGUUGGUCUAACGACGAAUUUACCCUUCUGGCGAGACUCGAAGCAGGUCUGGAUCCAGCCUGUAAAAACAUUAACCAAGUACUAGCGGAAAGGUUAAUGGAGUAUAACAUCACCAGAGGCGUAGAAAUGAUAAAAGGCCAACGUAGAAAAGAUCAGUACAAAGCGCUCGUUCGUCAACUCCGGUCAAAUUCUGAAACACAGCAAUGUGUAGGUUUAGCCGGAAGUAUGGAUUCGAACGUACCGGCCAACGAUACAUCGUCUUCCGUUGCAUCAGAGGUCAGCAUUACGUACCCUGAGUACGGGGCCGUGAUGUCGUGCGACCUAAUUAAAGAAGCGACUGGUAUGGCCAUAGUUGACAUCAACGAGUUGCAAAGCAACUUACGAAAAGCCUUCUUGUCCGGCCGCAAGCUUCCCAUGAAGUUCCAUGGAGCGCGUGAAACCGCCCAGAAGAAAAUGGCCAACCCCCGUGUUGCGAAAUUCAAGCGUUUCCAACGGUUGUUUCGAAGCAACAGGAGGAAACUGGCCAGCCACAUCUUCGACAAAGCCUCACUGGAGCAAUUCGGUGGCAGCAUCGAUGAGGCAUCUGACCAUUUAGAAAAGUUCCUCUCCCGGCCAAGAUUGGAGUCCGAUUCUUAUUCCGUGAUAAGCGGUGAUAAGUCAAUCGGAGUUGCACAUCCAAUUUUGGCCGAGGAGGUGGAAUUGGAAUUAAAAGCCUCCCGACCAACCGCUGUUGGUCCGGAUGGAAUUGCACUGGAAGACAUUAAAAAACUCAAUACUUACGACAUAGCCAGUCUUUUCAACCUCUGGCUAAAAGCUGGCGACCUACCCGCAUCGGUGAAAGCCAGUAGAACCAUCUUUUUGCCCAAAAGCGACGGCACCACCGACAUAUCGAACUGUCGGCCAAUCACAAUCGCAUCCGCCAUGUAUCGGCUGUUCAGCAGAAUAAUAACGCGACGUCUGGCAGCCAGGUUGGAAUUGAACGUGCGGCAAAAAGCGUUCCGGCCUGAAAUGAACGGCGUAUUCGAGAACUCCGCCAUUUUAUACGCCCUCAUCAAGGAUGCUAAGGUCAGGUCAAGGGAAAUUUGCGUAACUACGCUCGACCUUGCCAAGGCCUUUGACACGGUGCCCCACUCACGCAUUUUACGAGCCCUGAGGAAAAAUAAUGUCGACCCGGAAUCCGUCGACCUGAUUUCGAAAAUGUUAACGGGUACGACUUAUGCAGAAAUAAAAGGGCUCCAGGGCAAACUUAUACCCAUUCGCAAUGGAGUCAGGCAAGGUGACCCCUUGUCGCCCCUAUUAUUUAGUCUAUUUAUAGACGAGAUAAUAGGUCGCCUACAAGCCUGCGGCCCUGCCUACGAUUUCCAUGGCGAAAAAAUUUGCAUCCUGGCUUUCGCCGAUGAUCUGACGCUGGUGGCUGACAGCGCAGCUGGUAUGAAGAUCCUUCUAAAAGCGGCUUGUGACUUCCUGGAGGAAUCUGGAAUGUCACUUAAUGCAGAGAAAUGCCGCACUCUCUGUAUUACAAGAUCUCCCCGAAGCCGCAAGACUUUCGUCAACCCAGCUGCCAAAUUCAUCAUCAGCGAUUGGAAAACGGGUAUCAGCUCAGAAAUCCCCUCCCUGUGUGCGACGGACACCUUUCGUUUCCUGGGGCACACCUUCGAUGGAGAAGGAAAGAUCCACAUCGAUACGGAGGAAAUUCGAUCCAUGCUCAAAUCGGUGAAGUCAGCUCCACUGAAACCGGAACAGAAGGUGGCUUUGAUACGGUCACACCUUCUUCCCCGCCUUCAGUUCCUGUUUUCUACAGCUGAAGCUGACAGCCGGAAAGCCUGGUUGAUCGAUUCCAUCAUCAGGGGGUGUGUGAAGGAGAUCUUGCACUCAGUGAAAGCUGGUAUGUGCACUGAUAUCUUUUACAUACCCUCUAGAGACGGUGGAAUGGGAUUUACUUCCCUCGGGGAGUUUUCUCUUUUCAGCAGGCAGAAGGCACUCGCCAAGAUGGCUGGAUCGUCGGACCCCCUCUCGAAACGGGUUGCUGAAUUCUUCAUCGAAAGGUGGAACAUCGCCCGUGACCCGAAAGUCAUUGAAGCUGCUCGGCGCGUCUACCAGAAAAAACGGUACCAACGCUUUUUCCAGACGUACCAGAGCGGUGGAUGGAAUGAAUUUUCGGGAAACACUAUUGGGAACGCCUGGUUGACAAACGGCCGUGCCCGCGGAAGAAAUUUCAUAAUGGCUGUGAAAUUCCGUUCCAACACCGCAGCCACCCGGGCCGAAAACCUACGAGGCCGCCCCGGCACGAAAGAAUGCCGGUUUUGCAAGAGUGCCACCGAAACUUUGGCACACAUUUGCCAGAGGUGUCCGGCAAAUCACGGCUUGGUUAUCCAGCGCCAUGACGCAGUCGUAACAUUCCUGGGGGAAGUGGCGCGGAAGGAAGGUUACCAGGUCAUGAUAGAGCCUAAGGUGUCAACCCCGGUCGGCGCGCUCAAGCCCGACCUCCUACUCAUCAAAGCCGACACUGCAUUCAUUGUGGAUGUAGGCAUUGCAUGGGAAGGUGGACGCCCACUAAAGCUGGUCAACAAAAUGAAAUGUGACAAGUACAAAACUGCCAUCCCGGCAAUUUUGGAAACAUUUCACGUUGGCCAUGCUGAGACGUACGGCGUUAUUCUGGGCAGCCGCGGAUGCUGGCUCAAGAGCAACGACAAGGCGUUGGCAUCAAUUGGGCUCAAUAUCACACGGAAGAUGAAAGAACACCUGAGCUGGUUGACGUUUGAAAACACCAUCCGGAUUUAUAACUCAUUCAUGAAAAAAUGAGGUUUUUGUUUUCUUUUUUCCUUUUACCAUUCUUGUUCCAUUGUUGUUAUUUGCUUUAAUCCUGUAUUUUACCGCCGGCAAUUCCAUUGUUAUUAUUACUGUUACUGUUAUUAUUGUUACUAUUGUUUUUACUUUUACUUACUACUGUUAUUAUACUUUAAUUCGUUAACUUACGUUAUUGUUACCACUACUUACUUUGCUCUCUCGCAAACGUUCGUUGUUGUUUCUUUUGGACCAGGUUUAGAGAAAUCGCACGCACAGCGGAACUGGACCGCUUAAGCCAGAAAUAGUAAAGUAACAAUAGCCAAAUGCCUCGUCAUCUAAUUAGUGACGCGUAUGAAUGGAUCAACAAGAUUCCUUCUGUCCCUAUCUACUAUCUAGCGAAACCACAGCCAAGGGAACGGGCUUGG
rnacentral:ncRNA from 1 species